rnacentral:rRNA from 1 species
UUCGCCAAUUAAAGAGGUACGCGAGCUGGGUUCAGAACGUCGUGAGACAGUUUGGCCCCUAUCUUCCGUGGGCGCAGGAAAAUUGAGAGGAGCUGUCCUUAGUACGAGAGGACCGGGAUGGACGAAUCUCUGGUGUACCUGUUGUCACGCCAGUGGCACGGCAGGGUAGCUAAAUUCGGAAUGGAUAACCGCUGAAAGCAUCUAAGCGGGAAGCCGACCUCAAGAUAAGUUUUCCCUGAUUCUUCGGAAUCCUGAAGACCCCUUCGAGACUAGGAGGUUGAUAGGCGGAAAGUGUAAGCACAGCAAUGUGUUCAGCUGAUCCGUACUAAUUGGUCGUGAGGCUUCUUUAA